UGAUUAUUUAUAGAAGGACCAGCAAGCAUAGAGGGACAAGCAAGCAUGAUGCCCUUCGGGACUGCAUCUACUUCUGAUGCAUUAGACAAAAAGGAAAAUGAUAAGAGUUGAGACGGUUUUCACUAACUUUUGAGUCGCAUGAACACAAGUACGAUCUUUGGGCACCGAGGCUUCCCAUUCUUGUGAUUUCUCCAGACGCCCUGCUCACAAAAUAUUUAAAAGAUCCUUUUGUCUUCCUCUCAGCUGCUUCAGUUUUUUUUAUGGCACCUUCAGGAAUCCAGGUUCUAUAUAUCCUGUUUUGGUUCUUGUAAUCUCUUUCUUGAUAAAACAGAAAAAGGGUUUUGUUGUGAUGAUUGUCUCUGACUGGUAAGUAAAUGAUAGCAUUUUUUGGUUAAGAAUAGAUUUAUCUAUAUGAUGAUGAUGAUCUCACUUGAAGUUCAUAUAGGACUUGGGAAUUGGCCUGAUCACAUGUUCAUGAUCAAACUGAAUAACCCUCUUGUUGAUUUGAAUUCUUGUUUCUCAUUGCUAAUGGAACUAGGAAUUUCCUCUAUGAAGACUGCUCUUGAUUGCAGCAAAACUUGGUAUCAAGAAAUUUGGAAUUUUCUUGACAUGUUGCAGAUAAAAAAUUAACAGGAACAGGAACUGAUAUUAAAAUCUUGGCAGAGGCUUGAGAAGGGUGAUCAGAAGUCUCGAGUGGCAGUAGAGAAGGUCAACACGUGGAAGCGCCUUGAUGAUGAGAAGCUGAUCAAGCUUGAUGAACAAAUCUCAUGGGAGUUUCACCAGUCAAGAUGGCUUGAUUACAGCAAAAGGGAGAAAAGUACCUAGAAAUGACCCUGAAGCCACACCAACAGCAACAUAAGUUAAGGACAAAGCAAACUGCAUUGUUACCAUGUACAAAAGGAUGAACCGCCGUAACUGUUCAUGAGGUCACUGAGAAUUAUCAUGAUCAAUGACAUGCUUGAUCCAUCUGCAACACUCCCUAUUGACCCAAGUGCCAUCAACAGAACAUCCUUCCAAUCUGAAUGCUUCAACACAGUCCGCAACGACCCAGAUGGCAUACUACUUGCUUUUUGCUCGACUUCAUCCUUGCUGAAUGGUUCUCCUCUCUUCUCUGAUUCUGAACUAAGCUCUUCCAUUCUUCAGCAACUAUUUCCUGCUAAUUUCUCUUGAUGUUCUUUCAAGUUAUAUAUCAGUACAAACAAUCAGGGUUGCUGUGUUAGGACUUCUGAAGUGAAGAUACUGUUAGAAGCUGCCUUUUGAAGGAGCUCUCAGCACUUUUAACCUUAGCUUAACCUCUGUCGCAACAUUAAAAUGCACUGUAUGUUAUAAAUGUGAUCUUUUUUUUUUGUUAUAAUAUUAUUAAAAUGCACUGUAUGUUAUUAAUGUGUUCUUGACAUAC